rnacentral:rRNA from 1 species
CCCUUAGAUGUUCUGGGCAGCACGCGCGCUACAAUGGUCUUCGCAAACGGAUGCAUUCUCGAAGGAGAAUGCCAAUCUUGGAAUCUAUGCCUUGGUCGGGACAGUUGCUUGCAAUUUUUCGACGCGAACCAGGAAUUCCUUGUAAUCGUGAUUCAUCACAUCACGAUGAAUACGUCCCUGCCCUUUGUACACACCGCCCGUCGCUCCUACCGAUCGAAGAGUUAGGUGAAUUGUUUUGAUCGAUAAGAUUUGACUAUGGUCAACUCUCGUUGUGAAAUUCUGUGAAUCUGACUGUUUAGAGGAAGGAAAAGUCGUAACA